CCCUUCGGGGCUUUCUGCAAGGUGCUGCAUGGUUGUCGUCAGCUCGUGCCGUGAGGUGUCGGGUUAAGUCCCAUAACGAGCGCGACCCUUAUCGUUAGUUGCCAUCUGGUAAAGCCAGGGGACUCUAGGCGAAACUGCCACCGUAAGGUGAGAGGAAGUGGGAUGACGUCAAUCAGCACGGCCCUUAUGUCCAGGGCUACACACGUGUUACAAUGGCCGGUACAGAGGGCAGCUACCUGGUGACAGGAUGCUAAUCUCGAAAACCGGUCUCAGUUCGGAUCGAAGUCUGCAACUCGACUUCGUGAAGCUGGAUUCGCUAGUAAUCGCGCAUCAGCCAUGGCGCGGUGAAUACGUUCCCGGGCCUU
rnacentral:rRNA from 1 species